GCUGGCGUGGCUCAACGGAAGAGCAGCUGAUUUGUAAUCAGCAGGUUGUCGGUUCGAGUCCGACCGCCAGCUCCA
rnacentral:tRNA from 1 species